CACACGUAGAGAUUUAUCACUUGUAUUUUGAGCUUUACGGAUUAUUACUGUUUGCCACCUCAGCUUUCACCAUCAAAAAGUCAUGUAUUCUUUGUCAAAAUAAACCAACAAACAGCAGAUCUUCCUGAAAAUUACCUAACACAUUUAUGAAAUGUUGUACAAAGUGCUCAAAUCUGAAAGGCAGUUGCAAGAAUACGUCUGUGUGAGUCUCGAUGUAACCAGAAGCACGCGGGUGAGUUCAUUCAGGGAUACAGGCUGCACAGUCAUCAGGAAGUGAAACAGAACAGAAUGUGCUGUACUAAUCUGAUUGAAAAACACUGCUCUGAGUGGAUGCAUGAAAAAAAAAGAUGUUUCAUUUAAACAGCUACAAGGAGAAUCCUAUGGCAGCAGGAGGAUAUGCACAAAGAAAACAAACGGAGCUUAGCUUUUCAUUUGGCGAUAUGAAAGGCAAACGGCAUCCGUGUUACGUACAUGGGAGUAAUCUCCUGAGUGAUCCGUUUUAUCCGUAAACUUUUGCCCCCUGAAGCAAGAGUUUUUUUCACCGCUGCGCCUGCCAAGGACCCUAAAUAAGCCACUAAGAAAUUGAACAGUGAAUAACAGAGGGAUCCUGUUAUCGUUUGAACCUUGAAGGACUGUAUCUUGCUGUUGCUGUGGUUUGGUGCUAAUUUUAUCAGUUCUGAUGAUGGGUUUAAGUAUAGAUAUGAUUAUGUGCGAGAAAAAACAUGUGAUGUUGCAAGUUGAGAUGUGGCUACUUUUAAACUUUUAAUAUAUUAUUUUGGGUAGUUCACUCCGUGGCAGUGCAUUGUUGUUUAUAAGCUAAGUAUCGCUGUAUGUGAAAAACAGUGAGCCAUCUGUACAUAUAUUUAUAUAUUUGGAAGAACAAUUUCUGGCAGAGCACCCUCCUUAGAAAAACAAAUGGCCUGUGUUCAUUUAUAAAUGUCAUUGGAUGUUCCAUCUCCUUUGAGGUGAAUUUUAGGUGCUUUCCUGUAAAUGCACCCCUCCUUUUCCUCCCCCCAUGCACUUUUGUGGGAGUUUUAGUGUUAUGUUAUGUAGACUUUCAUGCAUGAUUGCUACACAGUUGAACAAAACAAAAUGUCAAAGAUUUCUUUUGUUUUUGGGUAUUUUUUUGUUUCGUCG
ensembl:lncRNA